rnacentral:rRNA from 1 species
AGCUCCAAUAGCGUAUAUUAAAGUUGUUGCGGUAAAAAAGCUCGUAGUUGGAUUUCUGUUGAAAAGAUCCGGUCAUCUCAAUGAGAUUGUAUCUGGUAUCGUUUCGGCAUCCUCUCGAAAGACGUUUCUGCGCUUGAUUGCGUGGAGCGGAUCUCGGGACUUUUACUUUGAGGAAAUUAGAGUGUUCACGGCAGGCAAUCGCCCGAAUACAUUAGCAUGGAAUAAUAUUAUAGGAUCUUGAUUCUAUUUUGUUGGUUUCUAGAAUUGAGAUAAUGAUUAAUAGGGACAAUUGGGGGCAUUUGUAUCAACACGUCAGAGGUGGAAUUCUUGGAUUGUGUUGCGACAAACUACUGCGAAAGCAUUUGCCAAGGAUGUUUUCA